rfam:Triticum aestivum genome assembly, contig: Triticum_aestivum_CS42_TGACv1_scaffold_571188_7AS
GCAGUACUCCCUCCGUUCGAAAAAACUUGUCCCAAGCUUGUCCCUCAAAUGGAUGUAUCUAGCACUAACUUGGUGUUAGAUACAUCCAUUUGAGGGACAAGCUUUUUCGGACGGAGGGAGUACAUA